UGAUUUUUUCCUUCUCAAAAUGCAUCAGGUAACAGUUCUUAGUUGGUAGAUCUUCCUGUGAAUUUUAUGAAAAUCUGAUUAGAAAAGUCAUUGUUGAUGACUCGAAGUUCUUGUUGAUGACUCGAAGUUCUUGUUGAUUGAGCAUAUACUGUUUUUUUGUUGACACCUGUUAUAUGGUCGUCAUUAUUGUCUUUUCUAACUCCAUCCUUAUAUUUAGAUGCUUAGCCCAUUUCUGGUUGAGAUUUGCAAG
rnacentral:lncRNA from 1 species